GUGUGCGAUGACUGUGUGGUGUUGCGUAGUAACAUCGGAACAGUGUAUGAGCGCUGGUGGUACGAGAAGCUCAUCAACAUGACCUACUGUCCCAAGACGAAGGUGUUGUGCUUGUGGCGUAGAAAUGGCUCUGAGACCCAGCUCAACAAGUUCUAUACUAAAAAGUGUCGGGAGCUGUACUACUGUGUGAAGGACAGCAUGGAGCGCGCUGCUGCCCGACAGCAAAGCAUCAAACCCGGACCUGAAUUGGGUGGCGAGUUCCCUGUGCAGGACCUGAAGACUGGUGAGGGUGGCCUGCUGCAGGUGACCCUGGAAGGGAUCAACCUCAAAUUCAUGCACAAUCAGGUUUUCAUAGAGCUGAAUCACAUUAAAAAGUGCAAUACAGUUCGAGGCGUCUUUGUCCUGGAGGAAUUUGGUAAUUACACUAUUUUGCUCUUAGGUCUGGACUCACAUGGCAGUAACUCAAACCUCGGAGCUCCAGAGGAGGGUCUAGGGGCAGGGAGAAGAAGAACCUCUGUAGAGAAGUCAGGAGGAGCAGGAGUGACAAGGAAGAAAAGGGACCCCUGAGAUGAGAGCCGGGAUGUGGAAGGGAAAGAUAGAUAAUGGAUCGCAGAAGAGCAAAUGGGGCCUCAGGUGGGUUUCGAGUUUAGAGGUGGUCCUGAAGCAGCUCAGUGAAGUAGCACCACCUCCCCGUGCUGGGCCAGCCAGUGGUCAGAAAGUUUGGGACAUAGCAGACUGGCGACCCCCAAGCUCCACUACGUCCGUGUCACCUGCUGCAAUCUCUCUAGCAGCCC
rnacentral:sRNA from 1 species